UGGUUCAGGACGAACGCUGGCGGCGUGCCUAAUACAUGCAAGUCGAGCGGACUUAAAAAGCUUGCUUUUUAAGUUAGCGGCGGACGGGUGAGUAACACGUGGGCAACCUGCCUGUAAGACUGGGAUAACUUCGGGAAACCGGAGCUAAUACCGGAUAAUCCUUUUCUACUCAUGUAGAAAAGCUGAAAGACGGUUUACGCUGUCACUUACAGAUGGGCCCGCGGCGCAUUAGCUAGUUGGUGAGGUAACGGCUCACCAAGGCGACGAUGCGUAGCCGACCUGAGAGGGUGAUCGGCCACACUGGGACUGAGACACGGCCCAGACUCCUACGGGAGGCAGCAGUAGGGAAUCUUCCGCAAUGGACGAAAGUCUGACGGAGCAACGCCGCGUGAGUGAUGAAGGUUUUCGGAUCGUAAAACUCUGUUGUUAGGGAAGAACAAGUACGAGAGUAACUGCUCGUACCUUGACGGUACCUAACCAGAAAGCCACGGC
rnacentral:rRNA from 2 species